ACUCGUAUGCGUGGUUCGUUUGUGUUACCCUUGGAAACGUCGCGGAAGAAACAAGUGAGUGAAACUUACAUAGAAGUCGUCCUGGAGUAGACGGCCGCAGGUCUCAAGCUGCACUGCGCAUUUUUCCAGGGAUUCACUGAGACUGAAGGAAAACCCACCUACUAGUCCAAAAGACAGCCCUCAGGUGCUCAGGAAACAAGCCUGAGAGCAGAUGCAUGAGAGGAUGAUUCAUGCGACGCUUUCAUUCUAUCUGCUGACCACAUUGGUCGUCUAUUCGGAUCCAGUCAAUGCCAAGACGGAACCAUGUACCGUGUCAGUUAUUGAUGGUAGCUGUAUAUAUGAUGGUACCUCAAUUCCGGAUGGUUCUAUGGAGCAGAUGAUGACCAGCCAAUGUGCUCUCGUCACGUGUUUCGCUAAGAAAGCUACUGUGGAGGUGCAAACAUGCGACCCUCCACCUCCUGGUUGUACCGCUCUGCCGUACGGUCCAUACCCCGAAUGCUGCUCUCAGCUCACCUGCACUCGCUGAGUACAAAUAAAAAUUUGUCGGUCUGCAGA